rnacentral:rRNA from 1 species
UGGAGGGGGAUAACUACUGGAAACGGUAGCUAAUACCGCAUAACGUCGCAAGACCAAAGAGGGGGACCUUCGGACCUCUUGCCAUCGGAUGUGCCCAGAUGGGAUUAGCUAGUAGGUGGGGUAACGGCUCACCUAGGCGACGAUCCCUAGCUGGUCUGAGAGGAUGACCAGCCACACUGGAACUGAGACACGGUCCAGACU